UGGAAGACUAGUGAUUUUGUUGUUCUGACUUUAGUGUGACAACAAGUCCCUGUCUGCCGUA
rnacentral:pre_miRNA from 1 species